rnacentral:rRNA from 1 species
UGCGAUUGUGCGGCCGAUGUAGGACGUUGGUUUAGACUUUGAUCCAGAGCUGAUGUAGUCUUGGAUGACGUUCGGAAAGCGAGCGGCGGAUGGGUGAGUAACACGUGGGGAACCUGCCCCAUAGUCUGGGAUACCACUUGGAAACAGGUGCUAAUACCGGAUAAGAAAGCAGAUCGCAUGAUCAGCUUUUAAAAGGCGGCGUAAGCUGUCGCUAUGGGAUGGCCCCGCGGUGCAUUAGCUAGUUGGUAAGGUAAAGGCUUACCAAGGCGAUGAUGCAUAGCCGAGUUGAGAGACUGAUCGGCCACAUUGGGACUGAGACACGGCCCAAACUCCUACGGGAGGCAGCAGUAGGGAAUCUUCCACAAUGGACGCUAGUUCUUGAAUUGGAAGGCAAACGGCCGGGCGGUGGAGGUGAAGAAGGUUUUUCGGGAUUCGUAAAGCUCCUGUUGUUGGGUGAAGAAGGAUAGAGGUAGUAAACUGGGCCUUUAUUUGGACGGUAAUCAAACCAGAAAAGUCACGGCUAACUACGUGCCCAGCAGCCGCGGGUAAUACGUAGGGUGGCAAGCGUUGUCCGGAUUUAUUGGGCGUAAAGCGAGCGCAGGCGGAAGAAUAAGUCUGAUGUGAAAGCCCUCGGCUUAACCGAGGAACUGCAUCGGAAACUGUUUUUCUUGAGUGCAGAAGAGGAGAGUGGAACUCCAUGUGUAGCGGUGGAAUGCGUAGAUAUAUGGAAGAACACCAGUGGCGAAGGCGGCUCUCUGGUCUGCAACUGACGCUGAGGCUCGAAAGCAUGGGUAGCGAACAGGAUUAGAUACCCUGGUAGUCCAUGCCGUAAACGAUGAGUGCUAAGUGUUGGGAGGUUUCCGUCUCUCAGUGCUGCAGCUAACGCAUUAAGCACUCCGCCUGGGGAGUACGACCGCAAGGUUGAAACUCAAAGGAAUUGACGGGGGCCCGCACAAGCGGUGGAGCAUGUGGUUUAAUUCGAAGCAACGCGAAGAACCUUACCAGGUCUUGACAUCUAGUGCCAUUUGUAGAGAUACAAAGUUCCCUUCGGGGACGCUAAGACAGGUGGUGCAUGGCUGUCGUCAGCUCGUGUCGUGAGAUGUUGGGUUAAGUCCCGCAACGAGCGCAACCCUUGUUAUUAGUUGCCAGCAUUAAGUUGGGCACUCUAAUGAGACUGCCGGUGACAAACCGGAGGAAGGUGGGGAUGACGUCAAGUCAUCAUGCCCCUUAUGACCUGGGCUACACACGUGCUACAAUGGGCAGUACAACGAGAAGCGAGCCUGCGAAGGCAAGCGAAUCUCUGAAAGCUGUUCUCAGUUCGGACUGCAGUCUGCAACUCGACUGCACGAAGCUGGAAUCGCUAGUAAUCGCGGAUCAGCACGCCCGCGGUGAAUACGUUCCCGGGCCUUGUACGCGCCGCCCGUCACCCCUAUGGGUCAGUCGUGACAAUGCCCGUGACAAUGUGCCGGAAUGCGCCUAGCCUUCGUGAAGUUUUGCCGUCUAUGCAGGGCAGAUGACUGGGGUGAAGUCGUAACAA